AGGAAGGGUUCUUCAAAAAACAGAACUGCUACUUUGAGCUAUCUUGGGAGGUGGAUCUUCUGAGUGAUAGAGCACUGUAGAAACCAAGACCCUCCGGACCCAGCCUGAUGUCGACUGCCUUGAAGAGACACAACCACUGUUGAUAAACAGGUAUAAACCGUGGACAACUCCAGCAGGUGGGCACCAGGAGAGAGAACCACAUAUGUGAAUCUCCACUGCAGCUCUCUAUUACAGCAAGAAAUGUGAAAGCCUAAACUCCAGUGUUCAGGAGACCAGAUAGGUAAAUGCUGGUGUGUUCACGUGAUAAAAUAUGACAUAGCAGUGAAGAUUAGUGAAUCACAGCGGCCACAACAAAUGGAUGACUCUUAGUAAUAGAAAACGAAAUGGGAACAGUGUCCCCGAAGAUUAUACAUGGCAUAAUGUCUUUUCUAUAAAAGUCAUAAACAAUUAAAACUAAUCAUUAUAUGGUUUGCAUGCAUGUAAUGUGUGAUAAAAAAAUAUUUUAUAUCAAGAAUGAACAAAAUACAAAAUUUGGAAUUGUGGUUACAUCAUGUGGAAGGAGUCCAGGGUAGGGGGUAAAUGGGCCAGGACAGCGCCAUAUGGAAGAUGGAAGUUAUGGUCGGUGUAUUCCUUCUCUAAUUGGAUAAUGAGUUCACGGGUGUUCAUUAUAUUAUCAACAAAUAAACACCCAAGUAGAUAAAAUAAAAAAGGGCCAUGCAUAGACCAGAGAGCAGUGGGAGGUAAACUGAGGGUGGU